rnacentral:rRNA from 1 species
GGGUUGUGAGGUUAAGCGACUAAGCGUACACGGUGGAUGCCCUGGCAGUCAGAGGCGAUGAAGGACGUGCUAAUCUGCGAUAAGCGUCGGUAAGGUGAUAUGAACCGUUAUAACCGGCGAUUUCCGAAUGGGGAAACCCAGUGUGUUUCGACACACUAUCAUUACGUGAAUACAUAGCGUAAUGAAGCGAACCGGGGGAACUGAAACAUCUAAGUACCCCGAGGAAAAGAAAUCAACCGAGAUUCCCCCAGUAGCGGCGAGCGAACGGGGAGCAGCCCAGAGUCUGAAUCAGCUUGUGUGUUAGUGGAACGGUCUGGAAAGUCCGACGGUACAGGGUGAUAGUCCCGUACACCAAAAUGCACAGGUUGUGAACUCGAAGAGUAGGGCGGGACACGUGGUAUCCUGUCUGAAUAUGGGGGGACCAUCCUCCAAGGCUAAAUACUCCUGACUGACCGAUAGUGAACCAGUACCGUGAGGGAAAGGCGAAAAGAACCCCGGCGAGGGGAGUGAAAAAGAACCUGAAACCGUGUACGUACAAGCAGUGGGAGCCUCUUUAUGGGGUGACUGCGUACCUUUUGUAUAAUGGGUCAGCGACUUAUAUUCUGUAGCAAGGUUAACCGUAUAGGGGAGCCGAAGGGAAACCGAGUCUUAACUGGGCGUUAAGUUGCAGGGUAUAGACCCGAAACCCGGUGAUCUAGCCAUGGGCAGGUUGAAGGUUGGGUAACACUAACUGGAGGACCGAACCGACUAAUGUUGAAAAAUUAGCGGAUGACUUGUGGCUGGGGGUGAAAGGCCAAUCAAACCGGGAGAUAGCUGGUUCUCCCCGAAAGCUAUUUAGGUAGCGCCUCGUGAACUCAUCUUCGGGGGUAGAGCACUGUUUCGGCUAGGGGGUCAUCCCGACUUACCAACCCGAUGCAAACUGCGAAUACCGAAGAAUGUUAUCACGGGAGACACACGGCGGGUGCUAACGUCCGUCGUGAAGAGGGAAACAACCCAGACCGCCAGCUAAGGUCCCAAAGUCAUGGUUAAGUGGGAAACGAUGUGGGAAGGCACAGACAGCCAGGAUGUUGGCUUAGAAGCAGCCAUCAUUUAAAGAAAGCGUAAUAGCUCACUGGUCGAGUCGGCCUGCGCGGAAGAUGUAACGGGGCUAAACCAUGCACCGAAGCUGCGGCAGCGACACUAUGUGUUGUUGGGUAGGGGAGCGUUCUGUAAGCCGUUGAAGGUGGCCUGUGAGGGUUGCUGGAGGUAUCAGAAGUGCGAAUGCUGACAUAAGUAACGAUAAUGCGGGUGAAAAACCCGCACGCCGGAAGACCAAGGGUUCCUGUCCAACGUUAAUCGGGGCAGGGUGAGUCGACCCCUAAGGCGAGGCCGAAAGGCGUAGUCGAUGGGAAACAGGUUAAUAUUCCUGUACUUGGUGUUACUGCGAAGGGGGGACGGAGAAGGCUAUGUUAGCCGGGCGACGGUUGUCCCGGUUUAAGCAUGUAGGCGGAGGUUCCAGGUAAAUCCGGUACCUUUUAACGCUGAGGUGUGAUGACGAGGCACUACGGUGCUGAAGUAACAAAUGCCCUGCUUCCAGGAAAAGCCUCUAAGCAUCAGGUAACACGAAAUCGUACCCCAAACCGACACAGGUGGUCAGGUAGAGAAUACCAAGGCGCUUGAGAGAACUCGGGUGAAGGAACUAGGCAAAAUGGUGCCGUAACUUCGGGAGAAGGCACGCUGAUAUGUAGGUGAAGUGAUUUACUCAUGGAGCUGAAAUCAGUCGAAGAUACCAGCUGGCUGCAACUGUUUAUUAAAAACACAGCACUGUGCAAACACGAAAGUGGACGUAUACGGUGUGACGCCUGCCCGGUGCCGGAAGGUUAAUUGAUGGGGUUAUCCGUAAGGAGAAGCUCUUGAUCGAAGCCCCGGUAAACGGCGGCCGUAACUAUAACGGUCCUAAGGUAGCGAAAUUCCUUGUCGGGUAAGUUCCGACCUGCACGAAUGGCGUAAUGAUGGCCAGGCUGUCUCCACCCGAGACUCAGUGAAAUUGAACUCGCUGUGAAGAUGCAGUGUACCCGCGGCAAGACGGAAAGACCCCGUGAACCUUUACUAUAGCUUGACACUGAACACUGGUCCUUGAUGUGUAGGAUAGGUGGGAGGCUUUGAAGUGUGGACGCCAGUCUGCAUGGAGCCAUCCUUGAAAUACCACCCUUUAAUGGCUGGUGUUCUAACGUGGACCCGUAAUCCGGGUUGCGGACAGUGUCUGGUGGGUAGUUUGACUGGGGCGGUCUCCUCCUAAAGAGUAACGGAGGAGCACGAAGGUUAGCUAAUCCUGGUCGGACAUCAGGAGGUUAGUGCAAAGGCAUAAGCUAGCUUGACUGCGAGAGUGACGGCUCGAGCAGGUGCGAAAGCAGGUCUUAGUGAUCCGGUGGUUCUGAAUGGAAGGGCCAUCGCUCAACGGAUAAAAGGUACUCCGGGGAUAACAGGCUGAUACCGCCCAAGAGUUCAUAUCGACGGCGGUGUUUGGCACCUCGAUGUCGGCUCAUCACAUCCUGGGGCUGAAGUAGGUCCCAAGGGUAUGGCUGUUCGCCAUUUAAAGUGGUACGCGAGCUGGGUUUAGAACGUCGUGAGACAGUUCGGUCCCUAUCUGCCGUGGGCGCUGGAGAAUUGAGGGGGGCUGCUCCUAGUACGAGAGGACCGGAGUGGACGCAUCACUGGUGUUCGGGUUGUCAUGCCAAUGGCAUUGCCCGGUAGCUAAAUGCGGAAGAGAUAAGUGCUGAAAGCAUCUAAGCACGAAACUUGCCCCGAGAUGAGUUCUCCCUGAGACUAUAAGUCUCCUGAAGGAACGUUGAAGACGACGACGUUGAUAGGUCGGGUGUGUAAGUGUAGCGAUACAUUGAGCUAACCGAUACUAAUGAACCGUGAGGCUUAACCUUACAACGCCGAAG